CUUUUAUUAGACGUUGACCGUCACGUAUCACGCUUUUAUUAGAAGUUGACGUUAAUUAGGCACACAAAAUUAACAUCCAAUAAAAGCAUGACACGUGACAGUCAACGUCC
rfam:Glycine soja cultivar W05 scaffold1150_16, whole genome shotgun sequence.